rnacentral:rRNA from 1 species
UCUUGGGGGUAGGAUAGAAUGCUAGUCGAGUGACUCAGGCAAAACGAGUCACGGCACACAGCUCAGUAACACGUGGCUAAUCUGCCCUUGGGACGAGGACAACCCCGGGAAACUGGGGCUAACUCUCGAUAGGUGAAGAACUCUGGAAUGAGUCUUUGCCUAAAUAACUUCACGUUAUCCUCGUGAAGUUGCCCAAGGAUGAGGCCGCGACCGAUCAGGUUGUUGGCGAGGUAAUGGCUCACCAAGCCUUUUACCGGUGCGGGCCGUGAGAGCGGGAGCCCGGAGAUGGGCACUGAGACAAGGGCCCAGGCCCUACGGGGCGCAGCAGUCGCGAAAACUUUGCAAUAAGCGAAAGCUUGACAGGGCUAUCCCGAGUGCCAUCCGCUGAGGAAGGCUUUUACCCAGUCUAGAACGCUGGGGGAAUAAGGAGAGGGCAAGUCUGGUGUCAGCCGCCGCGGUAAUACCAGCUCUCCGAGUGGUGUGGAUGUUUAUUGGGCCUAAAGCAUCCGUAGCUGGCUAAGUUAGUCCCUUGUUAAAUCCACCGAAUUAAUCGUUGGAUUGCGGGGGAUACUGCUUGGCUAGGGGACGAGAGAGGCAGACGGUAUUUCCGGGGUAGGGGUGAAAUCCUAUAAUCCCGGGAAGACCACCAGUGGCGAAGGCUGUCUGCUAGAACGCGCCCGACGGUGAGGGAUGAAAGCUGGGGGAGCGAACCGGAUUAGAUACCCGGGUAGUCCCAGCUGUAAACGAUGCAGACUAGGUGUUUGGACGGCCACGUGCCGUUCUAGUGCCGCAGGGAAGCUGUUAAGUCUGCCGCCUGGGGAGUACGAUCGCAAGAUUGAAACUUAAAGGAAUUGGCGGGGGAGCACCACAAGGGGUGAAGCUUGCGGUUUAAUUGGAGUCAACGCCGGG